UGUCAUCUUCGAGAAACAGUUUUUCCCCUCCAUAGUUAGGAAAAAUUCGUCAAAAAUUCCGCUUUUUACAGAAUCGAACAAAUAUGGUGACCCACCUCUAUUGUUUCUCGUAAUUAUAGCAGCAAACAUGACACCCAUUUCUCACAUCUUCAUCGGCUCAGGGCUGCUCACUAUUGUGCAAUGGCCUGAAUCCAAUGUUCAUUUUCUUUCAUGGCCGCCCAGUUGAGCAGACUGAAAAGAUUCAAGAUCAGCUGGCUGAUUUUCGCACUAUGCUCUCUUUGUUCAUGUCUAGACGUCUUGCCCCUGCCAAAUCUCAUGCUAUGGAAACCCGAUCCAAUAACUGUAUCUAGAGUAUUUUGUUGUUGGUACCUGAUAUUCCAUCUGAGACAAAGUGUAGAGCUGUGGCUUAAACAUCCUGGCUGGUUUUACGCGAUCGCCGGUCUUCUCCAGGAAAUGGUGUGCUCAGUAAGGCAGCGUCCUUAAUGCAUCUCUGUAAUUACUCUGCAAAAUCUGUGAGCUGCAGAGGUGAUCUGUCACACUCGAUCUUCUCAAUCAUCAGAUAAAAGGUCCUUCACAAGUGACGCGAACUCCACAGUUAGGUUCAAGAUCAAUUUCAUUCCGCAAUGCAUCAAAGUUAUGGCCAGAGUCUUCUGCAGGGCUACUGAGAGAAGAAGGUUGGCUGAUGAGGCACGUCGCACUAUAUGCAGCUGAAUCGAAAUGACAAACCCGCAAGAGUAACCUGGUGUGUAUAAUAGAACAUGCCAAAUUUUACAAAUUCAUCUUCACCUGACUGUUGUCGGCCGCCAACGGAUUUAUAGUUUCGAGUUCAUUGGUACGUU